GUAGGGGGCAAGCGUUAUCCGGAUUUACUGGGUGUAAAGGGAGCGUAGACGGCUGUGCAAGUCUGAAGUGAAAGCCCGCGGCUCAACCGGGGGACUGCUUUGGAAACUGUAAAGCUGGAGUGCAGGAGGGGUGGGCGGAAUUCCUAGUGUAGCGGUGAAAUGCGUAGAUAUUAGGAGGAACACCGGCGGCGAAGGCGGCCCACUGGACUGUAACUGACGUUGAGGCUCGAAAGCGUGGGGAGCA
rnacentral:rRNA from 1 species